GAUGAAGAACGUAGCGAAAUGCGAUACGUAAUGUGAAUUGCAGAAUUCAGUGAAUCAUCGAAUCUUUGAACGCACAUUGCGCCUGCCAGCACUCUGGCAGGCAUGCCUGUUCGAGCGUCAUUUCAACCAUCAAGCCCUAGGCUUGCGUUGGAGCCCUGCGGCUGCCGCAGGCCCCUAAAAGCAGUGGCGGGCUCGCUAUCACACCGAGUGCAGUAGAUUACUCUUCGCUCAGGGCGUGUGGCGGGUUCCAGCCGUGAAACCCCCUACUUCUCAAGGUUGACCUCGGAUCAGGUAGGAAUACCCACUGAACUUAAGCAUAUCAAUAAGCGGAGGA
rnacentral:misc_RNA from 1 species